rnacentral:rRNA from 1 species
AUUGAACGCUGGCGGCAUGCUUUACACAUGCAAGUCGAACGGCAGCGCGGGGCAACCUGGCGGCGAGUGGCGAACGGGUGAGUAAUAAAUCGGAACGUACCCAGAAGUGGGGGAUAACGUAGCGAAAGGUACGCUAAUACCGCAUACGUUCUACGGAAGAAAGUGGGGGACCUUCGGGCCUCAUGCUUUUGGAGCGGCCGAUUUCUGAUUAGCUAGUUGGUGAGGUAAAGGCUCACCAAGGCGACGAUCAGUAGCUGGUCUGAGAGGACGACCAGCCACACUGGGACUGAGACACGGCCCAGACUCCUACGGGAGGCAGCAGUGGAGAAUUUUGGACAAUGGGCGCAAGCCUGAUCCAGCAAUGCCGCGUGAGUGAAGAAGGCCUUCGGGUUGUAAAGCUCUUUUGUCAGGGAAGAAACGGCUGAGGAUAAUACCUUCGGCUAAUGACGGUACCUGAAGAAUAAGCACCGGCUAACUACGUGCCAGCCGCCGCUGUAAAAC